rnacentral:rRNA from 1 species
ACCCAAUAGAUACCCUGGUAGUCCACGCCCUAAACGAUGGAUACUAGGCGUAAGAAGUAUCGACCCCUCUUGUGCCGCAGCUAAACGCAUUAAGUAUCCCGCCUGGGGAGUACGGCCGCAAGGUUGAAACUCAAAUGAAUUGACGGGGACCCGCACAAGCGGUGGAGCAUGUGGAUUAAUUCGAUACUAACCGAAGAACCUUACCCAGGUUUGACAUCGAUUGUAAGCUCUAGAGAUAGGGCCCUCCCCCACAAGGGGACAUGAAGACACUUGUUGCAUGGCUGUCGUCAGCUCGUGCCGUGAGGUGUACGGUUAAGUCCGCCAACGAGCGCAACCCUCGUCCUGUGUUACCAGCGAUUAAAGUCGGGAACUCACAGGAGACCGCCGGUGUAAGCCGGAGGAAGGUGAGGAUGACGUCAAGUCAGCAUGGCAGUUACGCCUGGGGCUUCACACAUGCUACAAUGGGCGAAACAAUGGGCAGCAAUACCGCGAGGUGGAGCAAAUCCCAAAAAUACGCCCCACGUUCAGAUUGCAGUCU